GCAUGUGCAACAUUGUCUCUCUGGGGCCUCUUGUUGGAAAAAUAUCCUUUAAAUGCAAUGUUUAAGAUCUGGGAAGAAGAUGUAUGCUGAAAUCAUGAGCAUUGACCAAGACCUCCUGUGAAUAGUUUUAAUUUUUAUAUUCAAUGAUUGUGUACCAGCAACCUGAAAAUCCUCUGUCCCCGUCAUCUCCUACCACAUCUCUUGAGGUGUGUGUUUGAAACCAGAAGGAUCCAGACGGAGAAGCCUUGGCUACACUGAAUAGCCCCAAGUUCUUCCUUGACAAAACUGCUUAACUCCAGUGGGACUCCAGCAGUGAUGAAUUCUGACCUUUACAAGAAAUCCAAAGCAGAGCAAGAGAGUGUCUCUGUUUUCUCAUUUAAAUUUUACACUUGAAGGACAUACAUACAUUUUAAACCCACCUCUUUAAUCCUUGCAGCUGAACCAUUCAGCUCUUGUGUUGCCACUGAGAAUUCAGGCAAAAUGUUUGACAGAGGGCUAGAGAGCUGCUCCACAUCAUUAAGGAAAGCAGAGGUAGGGGGCGAGAGUGUGUGACCUCUGGAAGAAAUAACACACACUGACUGCAUCAAACAGUAAAAAAUUGCUAGAAAAGAAGAGGAUUAAACCCUUAAACCGCACUUGAAAUCACAUAUGCCCCAAAGUAGAGAAAUUCCAUCCUAUCUUGUUUUCUCCUUGUAUAAUUAGUCUUCAAAUACGCUUACUGGAGUGAGUGCAUUUGUCCCAAUCUAAGGAAACAAACGGAAUGAUGUAACUGGUUUCUUUCAGUUCCCACUUCAGUGCAACUUCACAAUACCCUUGGACUUCAGGGGAUUAAGUUCCUGUCUUGGCUGUGGUCCAGUUACUGGUCAUUGCUAUUUGUCGAUUAUCCCAGCAUUCCAGAAAACAUUUUAUCCCCUUCAUUAACUCACAAUUGACCAAUCACAUAAAUCAGGUUAAGGACUAGUGGACAUGUCUACAAAGAAAGGAGAGAUUCAAAGAAAGGCCAGAUUAAAUAACAGGUUGAAUCUGAUGUUUUUGAAGAUCUCUAUUCUUGAAAUUGCAAAUAAUGACCCUUGCAAAAAAAAGAGAACAUUAAUUAAAACUACCACUCUUUUGUUCACACUUCCCAAAGAUGAAGAAAUAUCAUUUCCCCAUAGCAAGUCCCUACCUUCUUAAAGAUGCAUUACUUGCUUCCAUCAUCAUGUUUAAAAACAUGUUAUUUACACAUAUAAAAUCUGUGAAUACAUGAAUGCACAGAUACAAAACCAUGUUAUGGGCUCACUGUGCUACCAGUGCACCAACAUUGGUGUGCUCCUGCGUAGACGACUGAACACCGUAGGCACACUGAUGCAAGACUGAACUCAGGUCUGCAUGAACCUUUAAUCCAGCCAGAGUAAGGAGAAGCCUUGGCACUGACUUCACUCAGAGCAAGACAGUGUCUUGUAUAAAAUCAGCCUUGCAGCUUUUUGUCUGAUGUGUUGGUGGCUUAGGACCAUUCUGGUUGCAGGUGUGUAGCUUCUCCUGCUUCAACACAAGGACCCUCAAGCCACCCGCAGAGUAACUUUUAGGGCUGCAGUUGUGGAUCCUGCCCUUCCUAUGCCUUCUUCUGUGUUUUGCCAUGCUGCAACCCUGGAGCUGUAGGAGAGUGAUGUGCCUAUUGUUGGUAUUGUUGGUAUUUUGAAUAUAUAUUUUUUUCUCGGUUUGACUUGGGGAUGAAUGUUUCCAAGAAUGUAACUGUCUGGGUUUUAAAUUGUACACUUCUGACAUGGGCUAUUCUCUGAGUUCUUGCGUAUGUGUGACCAACAUGUCUGUGUCUGUGGGCAGGACCAGUAAAUGCUGCCUGAUGAUGGGCGACUGGUGUGCCCACAUCCUCUCCAUCCAAGGCCUGGGCUGGUGUGGGCUCCCAGGGGGACAGGCAAAAUAUGUGGUUCCCUUCUUUUGGUGGCCAUGGGUUUGAUUUUCUGUAAUAAAACACAAGCGUUAUUUCUAUGUACAAAGACUGCUCUGCCUAAGCGAUUUUGACCCUACAAGAAGACAGACUGCAAUAUUAGUUACAUCAGGGAAGAGAAAUUGAAGCUACACAAUCAGUGUGGGACCUAUUCUUUUUUCUCUUCAAGGAGAUGGGGGCUGUCAUGCAGAGUAUAGAGAGCUUUUCUUCCUCUGCAUUUUCAAGGCACUGGCCUUCAUGGUAGACAUCUUCAUAGGCCCAAUAGCAGUGACUCUAUGGAGGUUUUGUACCACUCCAAGCACAGAGAUUCUUGACUUGGGUCUUGGAUCUGAAAGUUAGCAGAUAAGAGCUAUGGGCUAUCUCCAGCAAAAUGGAUCUUCAAGAGGGAAAAUCUGAUGCUAUUACAUCCAAGGAUUGGUAUGCACCUUGGUGCUUCUAUCCAAGACGCAGCUUUUAUGGGACACCAGAGUUAACUGAAGUGAAUCCUUCUGGCUUUGGGAUGCCCUAAUUUAAGUUGUUAUAGCAAAAAUAUAUAUUGUUAUAUGGUUAUAUAUUGUAAUAUAUAUAUAAUGUUAUAGCCACCAGCCAUGGGUGGCUGGAGGGCUGAGGGCACCAGCCAUUUCCUCUUGCUCAGAAUGGUCCUUGCUGGCCUUAAGUGCCACGCAUGUAGUGGUGAAUUAUGUAUGCAUGCGAUCUGUGUCUGGCAUUAAGACUUGCCUCCACCAAACGAUCCAGUUUGAAUUAUUAAAAACUCACCAGGGCUUUUCCUCACUGAGCUCCAAAUGUCUUCUUGUUUCCUGCUGAAGCUGUUGAAUGUUUUGAUAGGUGCCAAUGACACCGAGAGAUUACUGGAAGCUCUAGUUCUACCUGACCCUUCAAGGCUUGCAGAGGAGCAGAUAGUGGUGAUGGAGCUGGCACUGGCACCUUCACCAUUGCUGAUGCCUCCAUUACCUUUACCACCUCCCUCACCACUUCUGCAGAGUUGUUAGGAGCCAUGGCUGUGGCUGAUCCAUCAUCUGAAGAAACAGAUCCAGUGUUCAUAUGGCUGAUCAGAGUGCCAGGGGACUGGGCAGACCCUGUGGUGCAAAAGGUGAUGAGUAGUGAACAAUUUUUUUGACUGUUAGUGGAUUGGAAAUUCUUGGCCCCAAAGGCCAUGAGGGCACUAGAAGAUGGCAUGGAUUCUGUGACUUUAACAAAGAUUUCUUGAGGAGAGUAAUUGCCUCUGGAGGAACAUAAAACUGGAUUGUAGGAUUUGGGAGUUAAUAGUUUUAUCUUCUUAAUCCCAUGAAGGGCCUAUUGAAGGGGAGAGCAGAAAGCUGUCUAAUACCAGCAGCCCCAAAGCCUCUACACAUCCCACACUGCCUUUGGCUAUGCUACACAGCUUUCUUGGGCCUCCUGCUGUAAGUAGAACCUAAAUAAAUCCCCUCAGUAUCAGUGGACAAAUACACAGAUUUAUGCCAGAUUUAUGCCUUUAUGCCUCACCAUACUGGGACAGGUAUGAUGUAAGUCAGCACAAAUUUUAAGUUCAGAGGGUCUAAAGAAUGGAAGUGGUCCCUGGCUUGAGAUUCACUGAACUUAAUGCAUUACAUACAGACUGAUUUAAAAUCCCAGAUGCCAUUUGGCAUCCGUGCCUAGAUGAUGCCUAAAUAAGAGUAGUUUUUUAGCCAUUACUUUUAAGCAGUCUUCCUGGCAAAAGGACAAUGACAUAGUGUGCUGUGAUUGCAUUUGCACCAACUUUUCACUAAGUACUGAUUUAUGUUUAUUUAAUCACCAAUACUGGUUUAUAUGUUAUGCCUCAUUUCUUUAAACAGUAUGUUUCUCCCCAUCUCCCCCCACCAAAAAAAAAAUCAGUGUAAAGGAUUUAUGAUGGAAA